GACUCAACUGAAAGUUACUUAAGGCCAAUGGGGACCCUGUGCAGCUAUAUACCCAGUGUCCCAAGCACUGUGUCUGGCACAUUAAUAAACACGUUUCAUAGGUUCUGUCAGGUGAGCUGUUGUGCUGUAUUUCUGACCUGAAUUGCCUUUUAGGAGGGAAUCAGUACUUGGAAGCUGGAAUACAUCAGGGAUACCCCUGAAACGAGAGACUAUUUUUUUUUUUCCAUUGGAUUCUGACAUAAAUAAAUUUUGCUCACUUUGACAGUCA